CCUACGGGGUGCAGCAGUGAGGAAUAUUGGUCAAUGGACGAGAGUCUGAACCAGCCAAGUAGCGUGAAGGAUGACUGCCCUAUGGGUUGUAAACUUCUUUUAUAUGGGAAUAAAAUGUUCCACGUGUGGGAUUUUGUAUGUACCAUAUGAAUAAGGAUCGGCUAACUCCGUGCCAGCAGCCGCGGUAAUACGGAGGAUCCGAGCGUUACCCGGAUUUAUUGGGUUUAAAGGGAGCGUAGGUGGAUUGUUAAGUCAGUUGUGAAAGUUUGCGGCUCAACCGUAAAAUUGCAGUUGAAACUGGCAGUCUUGAGUACAGUAGAGGUGGGCGGAAUUCGUGGUGUAGCGGUGAAAUGCUUAGAUAUCACGAAGAACUCCGAUUGCGAAGGCAGUUCACUGGACUGCAACUGACACUGAGGCUCGAAAGUGUGGGUAUCAAACAGGAUUAGAUACCCCAGUAGUC
rnacentral:rRNA from 1 species